GCAAACUUGGUCAUUUAGAGGAAGUAAAAGUCGUAACAAGGUUUCCGUAGGUGAACCUGCGGAAGGAUCAUUAUUGAUAAAGGAUGUGCUGGCAUUGGAGUUCUCUGAUGCAUUAAUGUGCACUCCGCACCUUCCCUUUCAAAUCCCUUAAUGUGCACCUUAAAAAAGACAGAUGAGGUUCUUUCAAAGAGGGGGCCUGUCUGCUUGCUUUUUUGCAAACACCUUUGAUAAUUUUGGUUGAUGGUUGGUUGUACAUAACCUAAUAAAACAACUUUCAACAAUGGAUCUCUUGGCUCUCGCAUCGAUGAAGAACGCAGC
rnacentral:misc_RNA from 1 species